rnacentral:rRNA from 1 species
GUCUACGGCCAUACCACCCUGAAUGCGCCCGAUCUCAUCUGAUCUCGGAAGCUAAGCAGGGUUGGGCCUGGUUAGUACUUGGAUGGGAGAUAAUGGAUCUCAGAGUCUGUGUGUC